GGGGUUUUAGCUCAGCGGCAUAAGCGCCUGCCUUCCAAGCAGGCAGUCAUGAGUUCAAUCCCCG
rnacentral:tRNA from 1 species